CAGUCGCCGCGGUAAUACGUAUGUCACAAGCGUUAUCCGGAUUUAUUGGGCGUAAAGCGCGUCUAGGUGGUUAUGUAAGUCAGAUGUGAAAAUGCAGGGCUCAACUCUGUAUUGCGUUGGAAACUGUGUAACUAGAGUACUGGAGAGGUAAGCGGAACUACAAGUGUAGAGGUGAAAUUCGUAGAUAUUUGUAGGAAUGUCGAUGGGGAAGCCAGCUUACUGGACAGAUACUGACGCUAAAGCGCGAAAGCGUGGGUAGCAAACAGGAUUAGAUACCCCAGUAGUCCCUGUCUCUUAUACA
rnacentral:rRNA from 1 species